GAAGCAUCUUUACUUAGAGAUCAUCUCUUUUGGGAGUUUCUGAUGAGCCCUGAUCCUUGGAAAGGGAGUAAGUUAGUCCUUCUUUAUUACUGAAUUGUGAUCUCUGCCUUUCAUGGGUGAUCUGAAACUGGUUAAAGGCAACUGUAUCAACUGCCUUCUGUCCUUACACCAUUCCAACCCAAGUUGAGGUAUUCUAGUUAGUGUUUGGGAUUUCAUGCAACCUUGUCCUUGGAUUUUCUUCUUUUACUGGGCUCUUGGAGGAGAGAUCUGCAAUUGAUGGAGAAGUAUACCAUAGCCUACUGAAAAGAGAGCCUCACUUCCCUGUAUGCAGUUUGAGGAGCACUUUUGCAGCAGUGAUAGCCCUGCAUUCCUGCAUUGUUUCCUCAGUGAUGAUAGCAAAGAGAUUGCUUCUGAGCCAGGAGGAUGGGAUUAUAUCAACCACUUUCAAGCAAGUCUAUCUGUAACAGAGAGGACAGUAUUUUGAAGAGUUGCAACUGGCACUUAACCUCAUCUGGAAGCAAAACGUGAUGCCUUGUGUGAGGUGGACCCAGUCUGGCACCCUAGUGCUCAGCCUUGGCAUGGAUUCUGCUGGGAUCAGUGAAUCUUGACCAAAACAAAAUCCACUUCUGUUGGUGUUCCUUUCUGAAACUGAUUGCUCUCCACUAUGCAUAUUUCCACCUUUGUGCUAAUGAAAACACUGGAUUGUUCUGGAGGCAGUAUGGAAAGUAUGUGUGAGCUUUGGGU
rnacentral:lncRNA from 1 species